UACGUAGGGUGCGAGCGUUAAUCGGAAUUACUGGGCGUAAAGCGUGCGCAGGCGGCUCUGCAAGACAGAUGUGAAAUCCCCGGGCUUAACCUGGGAACUGCAUUUGUGACUGCAUGGCUAGAGUGCGGCAGAGGGGGAUGGAAUUCCGCGUGUAGCAGUGAAAUGCGUAGAUAUGCGGAGGAACACCGAUGGCGAAGGCAAUCCGCUGGGCCUGCACUGACGCUCAUGCACGAAAGCGUGGGGAGCAAACAGG
rnacentral:rRNA from 1 species